rnacentral:rRNA from 1 species
AUUGAACGCUGGCGGCAUGCCUUACACAUGCAAGUCGAACGGUAGAGGGGGCAACCCCUUGAGAGUGGCGAACGGGUGAGUAAUGCAUCGGAACGUGCCCAGUCGUGGGGGAUAGCCCGGGGAAACCCGGAUUAAUACCGCAUACGACCUGAGGAUGAAAGCGGGGGACCGCAAGGCCUCGCGCGAUUGGAGCGGCCGAUGGCGGAUUAGCUAGUUGGUGGGGUAAAGGCCUACCAAGGCGACGAUCCGUAGCUGGUCUGAGAGGACGACCAGCCACACUGGGACUGAGACACGGCCCAGACUCCUACGGGAGGCAGCAGUGGGGAAUUUUGGACAAUGGGGGCAACCCUGAUCCAGCCAUGCCGCGUGCGGGAAGAAGGCCUUCGGGUUGUAAACCGCUUUUGUCAGGGAAGAAAUCCUUUGGGUUAAUAACCUGGGGGGGUGACGGUACCUGAAGAAUAAGCACCGGCUAACUACGUGCCAGCCGCCGCGGUAA